rnacentral:rRNA from 1 species
UACGUAGGGGGCAAGCGUUGUCCGGAAUUAUUGGGCGUAAAGCGCGUGUAGGCGGCUCGGUAAGUCUGCUGUGAAAGUCCAGGGCUCAACCCUGGAAUGCCGGUGGAUACUGUCGAGCUCGAGUCCGGAAGAGGCGAGUGGAAUUCCUGGUGUAGCGGUGAAAUGCGCAGAUAUCAGGAAGAACACCCGUGGCUAAGGCGGCUCUCUAGUACGGUACUGACGCUGAGACGCGAAAGCGUAGGGAGCGAACAGG